ACGGGUGAGUAACACGUGGGUAACCUGCCUGUAAGAUGGGGAUAACUCCGGGAAACCGGAGCUAAUACCGAAUAACACUUUCGCUCGCAUGAGCGGAUGUUAAAAGACGGUUUCGGCUGUCACUUACAGAUGGACCCGCGGCGCAUUAGCUAGUUGGUGAGGUAACGGCUCACCAAGGCGACGAUGCGUAGCCGACCUGAGAGGGUGAUCGGCCACACUGGGACUGAGACACGGCCCAGACUCCUACGGGAGGCAGCAGUAGGGAAUCUUCCGCAAUGGACGAAAGUCUGACGGAGCAACGCCGCGUGAGUGAUGAAGGUUUUCGGAUCGUAAAACUCUGUUGUUAGGGAAGAACAAGUAUGAGAGUAACUGCUCGUACCUUGACGGUACCUAACCAGAAAGCCACGGCUAACUACGUGCCAGCAGCCGCGGUAAUACGUAGGUGGCAAGCGUUGUCCGGAAUUAUUGGGCGUAAAGCGCGCGCAGGCGGUUCCUUAAGUCUGAUGUGAAAGCCCACGGCUCAACCGUGGAGGGUCAUUGGAAACUGGGGAACUUGAGUGCAGAAGAGGAAAGCGGAAUU
rnacentral:rRNA from 1 species